rnacentral:rRNA from 1 species
GAUGAACGCUGGCGGCGUGCCUAACACAUGCAAGUCGAGCGAUUCUCUUCGGAGAAGAGCGGCGGACGGGUGAGUAACGCGUGGGUAACCUGCCCUGUACACACGGAUAACAUACCGAAAGGUAUGCUAAUACGGGAUAACAUAAGAAAUUCGCAUGUUUUUCUUAUCAAAGCUCCGGCGGUACAGGAUGGACCCGCGUCUGAUUAGCUAGUUGGUGAGGUAAUGGCUCACCAAGGCGACGAUCAGUAGCCGACCUGAGAGGGUGAUCGGCCACAUUGGAACUGAGACACGGCCCAAACUCCUACGGGAGGCAGCAGUGGGGAAUAUUGCACAAUGGGCGAAAGCCUGAUGCAGCAACGCCGCGUGAGCGAUGAAGGCCUUCGGGUCGUAAGCUCUGUCCUCAAGGAAGAUAAUGACGGUACUUGAGGAGGAAGCCCGGCUAACUACGUG